rnacentral:rRNA from 1 species
CCCUUAGAUGUUCUGGGCCGCACGCGCGCUACACUGUUCGACGCAGCGAGUCUUAACCUUGACCGAAAGGUUUGGGUAAUCUUCAGCAAAGUCGAACGUGAUGGGGAUCGAUCAUUGCGAUUAUUGAUCGUGAACGAGGAAUUCCUAGUAAGUGCAAGUCAUCAGCUUGCGCUGAUUACGUCCCUGCCCUUUGUACACACCGCCCGUCGCUACUACCGAUUGAAUGGUUUAGUGAGAUCUCUGGAUUGACGCUGGCUAGGGGGCGACCCUUGGCCAGACUGUUGAGAAACUGCUCAAACUUGAUCAUUUAGAGGAAGUAAAAGUCGUAACA